rnacentral:rRNA from 1 species
UACGUAGGGUGCAAGCGUUGUCCGGAAUUAUUGGGCGUAAAGCGCUCGUAGGUGGCCUGUCGCGUCGGCUGUGAAAUCUCGGGGCUCAACUCCGAGCUUGCAGUCGAUACGGGCAGGCUAGAGUUCGGCAGGGGAGACUGGAAUUCCUGGUGUAGCGGUGAAAUGCGCAGAUAUCAGGAGGAACACCGGUGGCGAAGGCAGGUCUCUGGGCCGAUACUGACACUGAGGAGCGAAAGCGUGGGGAGCGAACAGG